rnacentral:tRNA from 1 species
GAAAAGCUAGUUAAAUUAAUAACAUAAGAUUGUCAUUCUUAAAUUACACAGGUGUUUUUCA